rnacentral:tRNA from 1 species
GCGGGAGUAGUUUAAUGGCAGAACUUCUGCUUCCCAAGCAGAUAGCGGGGGUUCGAUUCCCCUCUUCCGCUCCA